AACGCGAAGAACCUUACCUGGGCUAGAAUGCAGAUGGAUCGUGGGUGAAAGCUCAUUUUGUAGCAAUACACCGUCUGUAAGGUGCUGCAUGGCUGUCGUCAGCUCGUGCCGUGAGGUGUUGGGUUAAGUCCCGCAACGAGCGCAACCCCCAUCACUAGUUGCCAUCAGGUAAAGCUGGGAACUCUAGUGAAACUGCCGUCGUAAGACGCGAGGAAGGAGGGGAUGAUGUCAAGUCAUCAUGGCCUUUAUGCCCAGGGCUACACACGUGCUACAAUGGGGAGGACAAAGGGCAGCAACACAGUGAUGUGAAGCUAAUCCCAAAAACCUCUUCUCAGUUCAGAUUGCAGUCUGCAACUCGACUGCAUGAAGCUGGAAUCGCUAGUAAUCGUAUAUCAGCAAUGAUACGGUGAAUACGUUCCCGGGCCUUGUA
rnacentral:rRNA from 1 species